rnacentral:RNase_P_RNA from 1 species
CCAGUUGGCCGGGCAGCCGCGCUCCGCAAGUGCCGAAAGGCCGCGGGGCGAGGAAAGUCCGGGCUCCACGGAAACACGGUGCCGGAUAACGUCCGGCGGGGGCGACCCCAGGGAAAGUGCCACAGAAAGCAAACCGCUCCGCAUGCGGAGUAAGGGUGAAAGGGUGGGGUAAGAGCCCACCGCGGCCAUGGCAACAUGGACGGCACGGUAAACCCCACCGGGAGCAAGACCGAAUAGGGAUGACACGGGCGCGCAAGCGUCCAGCCGGUUUCCAGGCCCGUCAUCCGGGUGGGUUGCACGAGGCUGCGCGCAAGCGUAGUCCCAGAUGAAUGGCUGCCACGUUCCGUCUCCUUCGGGAGCGGUGCCAUACAGAACCCGGCUUACAGGCCAACUGGCGAU